GCAACCAUGGAAGCAGCAGGCAGCAGUAGUCAAAUUGGGGCUUACGCUCUGGUCUUGUCCACCCAAGGAAGGAACACCACCACUCACUUAUUCCCUUCACAGAGCCAAGGGCCCUUUCACCCUGAAGGUAGACCCCCAAAGGUUGAAUCUCCCCAGGAACAGUGGGAGUGAACUGGAGUGUGCAUAGGGAAGAAGAUACCUACUCGUACAGAAAGAUGCAGAGAGAGAGGGAGUGCCAACGCCAACGGGGUCUUCGCAUUGCAAUCUACCCCCAGACUCAAGACAGCCG